AGCUGCACUUCUGCUACUGUGUACACAUGGGCUACUUGUUCAUAAAUUAAACGUUUACAGAUACAGUCAUGGACGCAGCGUUUCUUCUACCCAGAAUGCUGCAGUGAGAGGAAGUUGUCUCUGCUUACGCUGAAGCUCAGGGCAGUCCACUGAUUCGAUCAGUAUAACAGCGCAGGCAGAGGACGAGGAGCGCAGACGGGAGAGAACAGACGGCGAGGACGGGUGAAGAUGGCGAUGCGUCGCGCUCCGAGUGAGAAGAGCUCAUUAAAACGAAGAAGAUUAAGGAAGAGAAUGGCGUCGACCCGUUCAGACGAAAGAGCAGUUCUCGACGGUGGGAACAUGGAAUCAGAACAACUAGAUGAAAGAUGAUGGCGUUUCGUUCAGUCACAUAUCAUGUAAAUGUUCCUGAUCUGCCAAACGUCAAAGAAAGAUGAGGAAAAGGAUUUUCGCUGUGAUGUUUGCCUGAAGAGGAAGCUUCAGCAAAGUUUCAAGGAAGGGAAGACUACUCUGUAAGUCC